CACGUAGGGCGCGAGCGUUGUCCGGAAUUAUUGGGCGUAAAGAGCUCGUAGGCGGUCUGUUGCGUCCGCUGUGAAAACCCGGGGCUUAACCCUGGGCUGGCAGUGGAUACGGACAGACUAGAGGUAGGUAGGGGAGAAUGGAAUUCCCGGUGUAGCGGUGAAAUGCGCAGAUAUCGGGAGGAACACCGGUGGCGAAGGCGGUUCUCUGGGCCUUACCUGACGCUGAGGAGCGAAAGCGUGGGGAGCGAACAGG
rnacentral:rRNA from 1 species